AGUGAACGCUGGCGGUAGGCCUAACACAUGCAAGUCGAACGGCAGCACAGUAAGAGCUUGCUCUUACGGGUGGCGAGUGGCGGACGGGUGAGGAAUACAUCGGAAUCUACUUUUUCGUGGGGGAUAACGUAGGGAAACUUACGCUAAUACCGCAUACGACCUACGGGUGAAAGCAGGGGAUCUUCGGACCUUGCGCGAUUGAAUGAGCCGAUGUCGGAUUAGCUAGUUGGCGGGGUAAAGGCCCACCAAGGCGACGAUCCGUAGCUGGUCUGAGAGGAUGAUAGCCAAAACUGAACCGAGAAAAGGUCCCGACCUCUAAGGGAGGGCAGAGUGGGGAAUAAUUGACCAAUGGCGGAAGGCUGAUUCAAGCCAUACCGGUUGGGGAAGGAGGGCUUUCGGGUUGAAAAGCCCUUUGUUGGGGAAAAAAAGGCACCGGUUUAUUACCCGCUUGUCUUACGGUUACCAAAGAAUAAGCACCGGCUAACUUCGUG
rnacentral:rRNA from 1 species